rnacentral:rRNA from 1 species
AACGUAGGACACAAGCGUUAUCCGGAAUUACUGGGCGUAAAGAGUUGCGUAGGUGGCAUAGUAAGCAGGUAGUGAAAGCGUGUGGCUCAACCAUACUCACAUUAUCUGAACUGCUAAGCUAGAGGAUGAGAGAGGUUAUUGGAAUUCCCAGUGUAGGAGUGAAAUCCGCAGAUAUUGGGAGGAACACCGAUGGCGUAGGCAGAUAACUGGCUCAUUCCUGACACUAAGGCACGAAAGCGUGGGUAGCAAACGGG